UCCGCUAAGAAAAAAUAGUUCUUCACACAAAUAGAACUUAAAAUGUUCAGGUGUUGCUUAGCAACCCAUUACUUGCUGACUUCAAGUAACAAUGACUUUCCGUUACAUUAAAUGACCGGACUACUUGUGGAAUGAUAUGAAAGAGAAUUAGAAGCACAAAACCCAUUGCCAAUGACCCGUUGCCAAUGAUAUCUUUUCGCAGCCCAUUCAAAUCAACUGACCUUUUUGGAACAUUCUGAAGAGCCGUAAAAUAAAUUUAGGAUAACAGCCUUCUUCCUGUGGUGGGAAUUUGUUUAUGUCGUAGCUGUGACAAGGCGAUUACAGGUGGCAAACUGGCAUCAUGGAGGAAGUUAAAAAGAAACUGUCAUCUGGAGAGUUUAAAACGCUACUAAACAAAGGGAAAUCUACUGUACACUCUUAGAAAAAAGGGUUCAUGGGGGUGCUAUAUAGAACCAUGGGGGUCUUAGCCAAGGAGAUAGAACCCUUUUGCCUAAAAAGGGUGCUAUUUCAUACACGUGAGGGUUAUUUGAACUUCAACGACCGUUUAUGGAACCUUUCUGAAGACGUUAAUUCUUCACUGGAUUUAACGAACAGGAAAUUGAUGGAGACUACUGGGCCUCACUGAACGGAUGGUUGAAGAACUAUCCCCGUCUAUGAAAUUGCAGGUGAUGUUUGUGAAGGAACUGAACUAGCUCCUAGAACAACAUGAAGUUGGAUUGCCCCUGGACCAUGCUGACAAUUGUUACCAUAGGCAUAGGCAAAAGACUGUCCUGUCUAGACUGUCCUGUGCCAGUGUUGAGAAUGAUGCUUCGACAAAGACCAUGCUCGUCUUCUUUGACCCAACCAUGGCCAACAGUAUUCAGUCUGCCCACCUUCCCCCCAGAAAAAGUACCCAAACCAUAAAAAAUAUACAGAUGUUCUGGGAUCUCAUCACCAGAUUUCCGUUUCUUGGAGAACACAGCUCCUCUGGAGACCCUACUUGAGUGUCUGAGGAACAAAAUAAAAAAAGAAAGGUCACCUUUAGGCAACUUGACGUCCAGGAAAUUAAGAGAAAGUUUGGUGCUGGAGGAAACAGAAUUGUGGACCAUGUGCCUCUGGAGGAACCACCUGGACAUCAGAGAGAAAAUAAGUGCAGAUUGGAAAACGCAGUCCAGAUGCUUUCUGGGAAUUAUCCAACACAAGAGGAACCACCCAACUCAUUUCCGGUCAUCAGCCUCCACGAUGCAGACUCCCCUCCUUGCCAGGAGAGCAUCCAUUAUGAUGGAUGGCAUCACCAUUAUAAGCGGCGAGAUGGAUGUGGCACAUGCCAUUCAAUGUCUGCUGGAGAUGUACUUCGUCAUUGGUGUGGAGUACCCCCGGCAGAUCAAGCAUACCCUUA
ensembl:lncRNA